rfam:Heligmosomoides polygyrus genome assembly, scaffold: HPBE_scaffold0003354
UGGCCUGGCUAAGCCUACUCAGGGCCUUUCUUAAGACCCGAUGAACAAUUUUUGAAAGCCCUUACAGCGUAAGGGCUG